UACGUAGGCAGCAAGCGUUGUUCGGAAUUACUGGGCGUAAAGAGUGUGUAGGCGGUUCUCUAAGUUCGGUGUGAAAUCUCCCGGCUUAACUGGGAGGGUGCGCCGGAAACUGGAGGGCUUGAGUAUGGGAGAGGAAAGCGGAAUUCCUGGUGUAGCGGUGAAAUGCGUAGAUAUCAGAAGGAACACCUGUGGCGAAAGCGGCUCACUGGACCAUUACUGACGCUGAGGCACGAAAGCUAGGGGAGCAAACAGG
rnacentral:rRNA from 1 species